AUUGAACGCUGGCGGCAGGCCUAACACAUGCAAGUCGAGCGGAUGAAGGGAGCUUGCUCCUGGAUUCAGCGGCGGACGGGUGAGUAAUGCCUAGGAAUCUGCCUGGUAGUGGGGGAUAACGUCCGUAAACGGGCGCUAAUACCGCAUACGUCCUGAGGGAGAAAGUGGGGGAUCUUCGGACCUCACGCUAUCAGAUGAUCCUAGGUCGGAUUAGCUAGUUGGUGGGGUAAAGGCCUACCAAGGCGACGAUCCGUGACUGGUCUGAGAGGAUGAUCAGUCACACUGGAACUGAGACACGGUCCAGACUCCUACGGGAGGCAGCAGUGGGGAAUAUUGGACAAUGGGCGAAAGCCUGAUCCAGCAAUGCCGCGUGUGUGAAGAAGGUCUUCGGAUUGUAAAGCACUUUAAGUUGGGAGGAAGGGCAGUAAGUUAAUACCUUGCUGUUUUGACGGUACCAACAGAAUAAGCACCGGCUAACUUCGUG
rnacentral:rRNA from 1 species